AGAAAAUGGUUCCUCAAAAAUCGGGGUCAGAUUUGACAGGUCUAUUCCUGAGGGCAAUGACCUUGGUGGUCUUUGUGAAGAAGAUCAUGGUUUCUUCUGUGCUGGUGGCUUAUUCAACCCAUCUUUCAUUUUAAACACCUUUUCUGAUUUUUUGUGGACCUUUUGUCUAAUCUUAUUAACGUUUGGGUAGUUCUGGAGGUGAUGAUGUUGACAAGCUGGUCAUUAAUGAAAAUUUUGAGGUCGCAUUGAAUGAAAUCAAAAGCAGUCCCUUAUAUUGUUUGUGAAAGACAGAGAAGUCUAUAGCUGGAAAUACUGAUAUAUAUACUGCCUUGAAGAGUAAGCUUGAUAAUUUGCCAACAAACAUUGUAGUAAAGUAAUUGGUUCUCAUACACAGAUGGAUAACCACAAGGAAAAAUCCCACCCUGGCAGUCUUCUGUUCACAAAGUUUGUUCCAACCAGACUGCUCUGAUUGAUCUUGCUUUUCCAGUAUGUCAAGCACCUGACCCUUUUAUUUUGCCUAAUUUCUUUUACCUGAAAGAUUGAAUAUAUUGACAAAGUGUUCCAACUGUUCAAUGACGGUCUAAAUUUAACUAUAUACCUGACUUGUCCUAGUGGUUUUUAACUCUCUGCUUGUGUUAACCUUUAGAAGGAUCAUGUGUGAUCAUAUGAUAAUGUGUCAAAGGUUUACACUUGUAUUUAUACAUGUUGAAACGACAUCCUUUGUCCCUUGGAAUAUGGUAUUCUCCUAUUUUUCCUAGCGUUCUCCUUCCAAUAACACACCUGAUGUAUCGUUACCUGUGCAGGAUAAUUUUGGUAGACUUCAUGAAAGGGGUAAAGAAACAGGUAAAACCAUGAAACAAGUAACUCGCAUUUUCCCUAACAAAGUGACAAUCCAGUUGCCUCAGGUGCAUAUUUGUGGGUUCCUGCAUCAGUUACCCUCAUAAGUCAUAUCUUGUUAGAAUAAGUCAUUCUUGUUAGAAUAUUUGUGCUUUACUUUUGGACUGGAAGCAGCAGUUGGAACGGGACAUUGAAACUCUUAAAGCACAGGCAAAUUUUGUUAGCAUUCGAUCAGUGAGUAACACUUUAAUCCUGCUCUGUUUUUUCUUUUUUCCAGCUGUGUGCUCCCUGUUUCUGCAUGAUAUUAAAAGCUUCUGUCUCAAAGUAAAUUGCCUGAAUCU